UCCAGGGUAGCCUAGUGGACAUGCCAUCUGCCCGGUAAGCGUAACACUGUGGGUUCGAUUCCCAUCCCUGGAC